GUCCAAAUCAAGCAAAGCAGGAACUGGGACUGGGUUUGCAAGGUAGCAACUAUGCUGGCUCCACUGAAGUAGAUAGAUAGUCUGAGAAUCAUACCACCUGUUGCCUGCCUGAACCAAGAACCAGAUCCCAGAGAAGGACUGUGCCAUAUUAGUUGGUUGCAGAUCUGCUAGGAUCCUAACGUUGAGAGAGAUCUAACAGGUGCUCCCUGCCUGACUAUCAGCACGGAUACGUAGUUUUCAUCUGUGGAGAAUUUUCUAACUUU
rnacentral:lncRNA from 1 species